GGAUCGGUUGCUUAGUUGGUAAAGCUCUCGUCUAGCAUACAAGAGUCCUGGGUUCAAAUCCCAGCCUUUUUA
rnacentral:tRNA from 1 species